rnacentral:rRNA from 1 species
GUGGGGAAUAUUGGACAAUGGGCGCAAGCCUGAUCCAGCCAUGCCGCGUGAGUGAUGAAGGCCCUAGGGUUGUAAAGCUCUUUCACCGGUGAAGAUAAUGACGGUAACCGGAGAAGAAGCCCCGGCUAACUUCGUGCCAGCAGCCGCGGUAAUACGAAGGGGGCUAGCGUUGUUCGGUAUUACUGGGCGUAAAGCGCACGUAGGCGGGUAUUUAAGUCAGGGGUGAAAUCCCGGAGCUCAACUCCGUAACUGCCUUUGAUACUGGGUACCUAGCGUAUGGAAGAGGUAAGUGGAAUUCCGAGUGUAGAGGUGAAAUUCGUAGAUAUUCGGAGGAACACCAGUGGCGAAGGCGGCUUACUGGUCCAUUACUGACGCUGAGGUGCGAAAGCGUGGGGAGCAAACAGGAUUAGAAACCCCGGUAGUCC